AUAUCAAUCGAUCUCGAUUCGCCGGCAAUAUAUAAAAGCCAAUCGACCAGUCCAAGUGAGAAGUUAUCCGGCAUAGCGAAUCAGGUGCAAUGGCUUCCUCAUUGUUGAAAGUUGCAAUUUUAUUGGCUAUUAUUACAUUAGUGACAGCCCGACCAAGAGUCGAAUGUGGCGAAUGCGCCGAGGGCUCUCCGGAUGUUUCAAAUGAAGUACCAAUCACAGAAGAACCAGAAGAUACAUGUGAAGAUGGAGUCGAAGAUGUAUCACGACCACGUCCACCGGAAAUCAUCACUGACCCACCACCAUGCUAAAAUCUAUUGAAAUUUAUUGACGGUAAAAUUUAAUUGGUGAUGGAAAGCACACGUUUUGCUCAUUGAUUGAUAAAUUGGUUCUUAUGCAAAAUAAAUUUAUUUCUUAACGGAGGUAA